rnacentral:rRNA from 1 species
UACGGGGGGGGCAAGCGUUGUUCGGAAUUACUGGGCGUAAAGGGCUCGUAGGUGGCCAACUAAGUCAGACGUGAAAUCCCUCGGCUCAACCGGGGAACUGCGUCUGAUACUGGGAGGCUUGAAUCCGGGAGAGGAAUGCGGAAUUCCAGGUGUAGCGGUGAAAUGCGUAGAUAUCUGGAGGAACACCGGUGGCGAAGGCGGCAUUCUGGACCGGCAUUGACGCUGAGGCGCGAAAGCCAGGGGAGCAAACGGG